rnacentral:rRNA from 1 species
GAAUGCUAAUACCGGAUAACAACAGAUGAUGCCUAUCAACUGUUUAAAAGAUGGUUCUGCUAUCACUCUUGGAUGGACCUGCGGUGCAUUAGCUAGUUGGUAGGGUAACGGCCUACCAAGGCGAUGAUGCAUAGCCGAGUUGAGAGACUGAUCGGCCACAUUGGGACUGAGACACGGCCCAAACUCCUACGGGAGGCAGCAGGC